GCAUCAGUUUUUGUGAAAAUUGUUCAGUUAUGAAAUUAACUUGUGAGAAAGAAUCCAGCAAAGCUCGGCCAAUAUGAUAGUUUCCGGAAACGCCGCGCACUAGAACCUCUGCUGUGGCGAGGAUGACGUCAAACGAUGACGAAUUGUUCAUGUGUGUAUGAACAGCGGAUGUCGAAGUAGAAUUUGACGAAUCUGGCGUUUUCCAUCGAUGUAAGAAAGUAUGGUGUUGACGACAACAAAUCUUACACUUAUGCGUUGAUACGCAGUUCGAUAACUGAUGUCCUCUUGAUAAGCAGUUAAUACAGAGACCCAUCUUCUUUGCAUGGUCAAAGCGUUGCGACACACUAAGUGCCUUAAAACGGUCGCGGUUGUGUAUUUUAUGAUUGUUGUUGGAACACACCGAACAACAUGAGCUGGAACAAGAAAACGAGCGGCCUUUACGUGAAGGUUUUGUUUUAUGCGUGUUGGUAGUGCUUUGGUGUACAAAUCCAACGGUGUGAGCGUUAUCAAUUGAGUCGAGAUAUUGGCAGUGUCUCUCCAAAAUGUGGGUACAAUUUUCCCAGCUCGGCAAAGUCUUAAAGUCCAGAGACUCUUUCCAUUUACGAUUGGUUUCUUUAUCUGCCUUGUGUAAAACUAAAUAAAUAAUCAUAGUUUGUGAAAUUUGGCUUUCAGUUCCCAAUGACAAUAACGAGCUGUAAAUUGCAGAUGCCUUAUCAAUUAAACUUCUCAACUGACCGCCAUUAGGCUUAGAAAUAGAAGAAAGCUCAAAUAAAGAGGAAAUAUUUUCUAAAAAUAUGAGAGUUGGGUUGUCAUAUCGAGUUUAGAGUCUCUCUAAUGCCUUCAAAUAGUUUUCAUUGGAAACUUGAAAGGCGUCAAUAGUUUCUAAUGCCGGUCCAUUGAGACAGUUGCGUAGAUGAUUAAAUUUCUCUAUGUUAGAUAAGCCAUAUUCUCGAUCUAUAAUUUGCUGAAAGGAAGUUACGAAGUUUUGAUAUUCAGAGUACUUGCCGUUGAAUAUAGGAAGUUUGAGUUUGGGCAGCUUCGAUCCUGCCUGCAUUACGCAAGUGGUGUCUAAGAGUGUGGUGUUGGAAUCCUCGGUAACUUGAGACUGAAUAAUUAACUUUGUGGUUUUAUACAGCUCUUCAAGAUCCAUGCGACCGCAAUCCUCAUUAUCUAUCCUUUCAAUUUCUGUCUGUGUAGACAACACAUUUUUGAAAUAAGAUUCCACAAUACCAAGUCGACAUUCGGCUGCUGAAAGUAUUUUAGCACCUGGCCGUAGACUGGCCCCGACAAUGUUUUUUAUACGAGUAAUAUUUUUCUUAAUACUAGCCCGUUGUUGUUUGAGCUCUUCCAAAGACAUGUUUAAAAUGUUCAACAAUUUACGAAAAAAUUCCAAAAAUAAAUUGUACGUUUGUUAAAAGAUGAUAUAAAGUUUGCGAUAUAACGACGAAUGAGUAUAAUAUACAUAAAUAGUUUUAUACUUGCGAUUAGAUUGCCUUGAAUCCAGAGUCCCGCUUAAAUGGUUUGUUGGAUAUAAACGAAUAUGUUGGAAACUGCAGCGUAAUGCGAGUAAGCGAUAGCGAUAGUGUGACCAAAUAAGAGCGACGAAAGAAUUGCAAGUGCAGCGGCAGUGAUGCAAUGUGAUGCGUGAUCACAUGCAAGCGACGUAUUAAGGUAUCAGCGAUAUUGAUAGCUAAGCAGCGAACAGGAGCAGCGAGCAGUAGCAGCGACAGCGAAUCAAGUAUUCGCAGUGCAGUGCGAGAGUAGCAGAGACGACAGACGUUCGCAGUGGCAGCGAACAGCAACGAUGGCAGAAUUGGCAGAAGCGACGGCAAAAAUUUAUAAAUAUUAGAAAAGAGUAAAUUAGUAAAAAUUCCAUUGAACUAAGGCGGGCCACUGACUACACAAAUUUACUGCACAAGACUGUUGUUGGAAUUGAGUUUAAUUUCGUUCACUGAGUUCACAACAACAAAUUACUCGAAUUUGCGCAGCUAAUGUAGUCAGUGGCCCGCCUAACGGUUAAUUCAUACAUUACGGUUCACAUACGCCAAUGUUGAUUAUUAGACAGACUGAGACGUACAAAAAGAGCUUUUAAUAUUUUGUCAUUGCGAAAUUGACUGUGGUUAAGAAAGGGUCUUUAUUAAAAUAAUUAAAAAUAGUAAAAGUUAUACUGCAAUAUCGUGAUGGCUGUAAAUAAUUUUGUUACACUUAGAUCUGCUGACACAAACAUAUAUUUGAUAAGAAAAUGUGAAAAAAAUAUACUUGGAAGCAAGUUACCGUCAAACUACAAGUGCUGAAAUGUUUUUUUUUACUAUUUGCGGUGUGAAAAGAAAACAAUUAAAGAAAGUGCUUAAUUGGCUUCGAAGGAAAUAUUGCCUUUUUGGGAAAGAGCACGUAUUCCAACGUUAAACAAAAGAACAUGUGACGAUAAACUGGUGAAAUUAUAUGAUGAGUAGAGAACAGUACAGAAAUUAUGUACAUCUUCGUUUCCUAGUUCUCGUAAAAAAGAAAAUGAUUUCAAUGAUAACUUGAACAAUUUAUUCGAUAUUGCACAUGCUGAUGCUUUAGAAAUGAUAGCUAUUCCUGAGGACCGAGACUUUUUAAUUAAACAAAGAGAACCAGGUCGUGUUGGGAGCAUGAUUUCUAUAGAUCAAUGUCUCGCAAAUAAAGAAAAACGGAAGGCGCAAAGGUUAGAAGAAGAAAAUCCACGCAAAGCAAAGUAUCAAAGAUUGGAAAGCACUCAAGAGUUGAGUGUAGACUAUGAUGUAAGUGAUGAAAGUAAAUGUGAGUCUGAAAAAUCUGUAGAGCAGUUGAUGAUCGAAUCAAACACCAACGAGCUGAAAAAAAACGUGGUAAAAAAAGCUUCAAAGAUGAUAGAAUGCUUGCUUGCAUGGAUGCUGGCAAUAUGUCAACCCCACUUGCAAUUCAUUUUAUUAAUGCAACACCUAAAGCUUUGGGUCACAAUAUUGAAGAUCUGGUUAAUAGUUGUACAAGUUUGAGAAAACAGCGCAAGGAAUAUCGUCGGCGUCAUUGUACAGACAUUAUUGAGAAUUUCAAGAUCCCUGAUACAUUUGUGUUACACUGGGACGGUAAACUACUUCCUGCAAUGACUGGAAAGGAAAAAGUAGAACGCCUAGCUAUUGUUUUAACGGCAGAUAAUAUAGAAAAAUUAAUUUUCAUUCCAAUUAUUGAAUGUGGAGCUGGUGAAGCAAUCGCCCAGUCCAUAUAUAAUUGCUUAGAAAAAAUGAAUAUGAUAAAUUCGGUGGAAAUGGUAUGCUUUGACACGACAGCUACAAACACUGGUAAACGUAACGGUGCUGGAACAAAAAUUGAAACGUAGCUUGUUGUGGUUGCUAUGCAGGCAUCAUAUUGCAGAAAUCAUACUACGAGCUGUAUUUGAAAUAUAUUUUGGAAAAUCUUGUGGCCCGGAAGUUACCAUAUUUGAACGUUUUUCGUGGGAAUGGAACACUUUCAAUUUAAAAGAUCUUUCAAUUGGAAUCAUGGAUGAAGAAGUGCGACGUGCUAUAAAUGCAGAGGAAUGUGAAGCCAAUAAAGAAUUUUGCAUCAAAAAUAUAGCAAAAGACCACAUUCGCCAUGAUUACAAAGAGCUAUUGCAACUCAUGUUUAUUUUCUUAGGUGGCAGCAUCCCGAACUUUUCUUUUCGUGCACCUGGCGCAACGUCACAUGCCAGGUUUAUGUCAAAAGCGAUAUAUGCCUUAAAAAUGUUUGCUUUGCAAAAACAAUUUAAAAUGUCUUCCAGCCAUUUGAAUGGAUUCCGCAAUGUGUGUAUUUUCCUCGUGCGUCUUUAUAUUCCGUAUUGGUUUCGAACUACUAAUGCAGUCGAAGCAGCAAAUUUGGAUUUGCAGCUGGUAAAAAACAUUGCCGGUUAUUACGACCCAAAAAUAUCUCUAGCCUUAUUAGAUAAAAUGAAAAAUCACUUAUGGUAUCCUGUCUUUCGAUUCUAACGUGGACUUAAAUGUGAAAAGAAAGAUGGUUGAAGCACUAGCAUUAGAAAAAGAGUUUGAAAGCAAUGACGACAAUGGCGUUUAUCUGCAUAAAAAUGUAAAUGCCAGCAUUGAAGAUAUGAAAGCAUUCAUAAGUAAAGAUUUAAGUUGUUUUCUAACGCAAAGAACUAGAAAUAUCUUUUCACGAAUAGACGUAAAAUUUUUCAACUUAGAUCCCUCAAACUGGUGCGAAAAUGCAGAAUAUUUAAAAGGUGUUCAAAUCCUCAAAAACGUCACUGCUGUUAAUGAUUCUGCUGAGAGGAAAGUAAAACUAAUAACAGAUUUUAACCGGUCUUUAACUCAUAGCGAAGAAGAUAAACAAUACUUGCUUCAUAUUGUCGAGAACUACAGGCAAAAGUUCCCUUCAUAUACUAAAACUUCGCUUUUGUAAUAUUCUUGAGACAUAUGUAUAUUAAUGAUUGAAAUGCAAAUUGUGGAAAAAUUGCGUUAUUUUUAUUUUUUGUUUAAUAAAUAAACAGAUAACAGUAAAAAAAACCAAGUGUUUUUCUAUAUUUUGUACUUUGACCUCAUUAUGAGUUAAAAAUUUACCACAUGAAUUAUUACAUCGAAUCGCAUAUUUGACCAAUCCCCGUACUCAAAAUUUCAAAAAAAAAAAUAACGCCAGGUCUAAUGUCCAUAUGCUUGCACAUGCGAAAGAGUCACCAAAAGGAGUGACAAAAACUCUCGCUGUUGUUGAUGCGGACAUAUGUAGACAUGCAUACGUGUGUAUAUACAAAUGAGUUAUGUAUGUGGGAGCAUUAUGCAUUUACAAUUUAUAAUACCUUAAUUUGUUAGUACAAUUGAGUCUGUGCUCUUAUAUAGGAGUGACUAAACUUAAAAUAACUUAAUAACUAAUAGGGUGUAACGUUAGGUGAUCCAACACCCUAUAAGACUUACGGACAUGUAUACAAAAAUUUUUGCGGCCAAU